rnacentral:rRNA from 1 species
AUUGAACGCUGGCGGCAGGCCUAACACAUGCAAGUCGAACGGUAACAGGAAGAAGCUUGCUUCUUUGCUGACGAGUGGCGGACGGGUGAGUAAUGUCUGGGAAACUGCCUGAUGGAGGGGGAUAACUACUGGAAACGGUAGCUAAUACCGCAUAACGUCGCAAGACCAAAGAGGGGGACCUUCGGGCCUCUUGCCAUCGGAUGUGCCCAGAUGGGAUUAGCUAGUAGGUGGGGUAACGGCUCACCUAGGCGACGAUCCCUAGCUGGUCUGAGAGGAUGACCAGCCACACUGGAACUGAGACACGGUCCAGACUCCUACGGGAGGCAGCAGUGGGGAAUAUUGCACAAUGGGGGCAAGCCUGAUGCAGCCAUGCCGCGUGUAUGAAGAAGGCCUUCGGGUUGUAAAGUACUUUCAGCGGGGAGGAAGGGAGUAAAGUUAAUACCUUUGCCCAUUGACGUUACCCGCAGAAGAAGCCCCGGCUAACUCCGUG